GUGGAGAAGCAGGGCACGUGUGAAUUCAUUCGUUCCAUCGACGGUCUGGCGCCGACUCACGCAUCGCCGGCGCGGCGAGCUGAGCGCGUGACACGGAAAGCAGGUCCGCCGCGCCGGCGCCCGCGCUGGCCGAUCGACCGGCUAACUGUAGCUCCACGAAGCAAAGCCAGGCCAGCCGGCCGAUCGAUGCGUGCGUGCAUGUGCCCUUCUUCUCCAUCG